rnacentral:rRNA from 1 species
UACGUAGGGGGCAAGCGUUGUCCGGAAUCAUUGGGCGUAAAGCGCGUGUAGGCGGCCCGGUAAGUCCGCUGUGAAAGUCGGGGGCUCAACCCUCGAAUGCCGGUGGAUACUGUCGGGCUAGAGUGCGGAAGAGGCGAGUGGAAUUCCUGGUGUAGCGGUGAAAUGCGCAGAUAUCAGGAGGAACACCGAUUGCGAAGGCAGCUCGCUGGGACGUCACUGACGCUGAGACGCGAAAGCGUGGGGAGCAAACAGG